UUGAGAAUGUUGCCUGUCUGAGCCCUGAGAUGAGCUGAGGGUUCCUCCUCCCCAGCCAGCACCAGCCUCACACAGCCCUUGUAAAUCUGAAAGUGCUGUUGGUAGCAACCAGGGAUGGGCAGAGGCAGCCCUGUCCUGAGGGUGACAUGAAAGUGAGAGCAAGCUGAAGCUCCAGUUGGCUUAGUCUUCAAAAGUGUCACUUUCAGAUUAUAUCCCUCAGCUUUAAAAUAUCCUUCUUUGAAGUCCAUCCUGCUCUGCCCACUAUUUGUCCCCGGUGGUCACUUCCUCCUCUGUGCUCCCGUGGCCUGGGAUUCACACCAGGAAAGAACGCCACGAAGAAGGAAUGACAAGAAAAUGGAGGCAAAGAACAUUGGAGUCACUCCCUGGCUACACACACUGAGGUGAUAACCAAGGUGCUCAAAAAGGGCCGGUGUGCCGCAGUGAGUGCCAGUUUGAAUGAAGGAAGCAUGCGUGGCCUGAAGCCUCACCGUGUUCCAGGCGUCCAGUUAAGUGCUCUGCACAUAAUAUCACACAUUGCGCUCCACGAUAAGGGUCUGGAAAGCAAUCCUCCACAGAAAGAAAGCAGAAUCUUCUGGGCAUUUCUGAGCAAGUGGACUUCCUUCAGCUGAGCACAGUCCUCAGGAGAAGCGGACAGGUGCAAAGUGUUGGAAGCCAACACUCACAGCAGUUGGGGGUUGGAGUGCUCUGGCUUCCAACAGCAUUGAAACCAACAGCAUUGACUACAGCGAGUUUCUCAAUCUUCAGAACACAUCCCAGCCUCCCUGGGGGCUGCUAAUGCACAGAUUGCCGUUUCCCACUCCAAGAGUUUCUGAUUCCAGAGGUCUGGGGUAGGGCUCGAUAAUUUGUUCUUCUAACCACCUAAUGCUGUUGGUCCAGUGACCACACUUUGAGAAAUGCUGUACUAUGUUUUCUCAUAUAUUUAAAAAUUCUCACCUCAUUUAUGGUUUAAAACUUCUAGAACAAUUCUGAAUAGUUUUUGUAAUAGUGAGCCUCACUUUCCUGUCUCUGCCCUUAAUGGGAAUGUCUCUAAUGAUUCACCUUUCAUACGGGGACUUGUUGUGGUUUACUGGGCAAUUCCUUUUGGCAGGUUAAAAAAAUUCCCUCUGUUUCAAGCUAAAGCCAUUUACCAGGAAGAGACGCUAAGUUUUAUCAGAGGGUUUUUCCAGUAACUAUUGUGAUAAUCAUGGUUUUUUUUCCUAUUUAUUACGAUAUCAAACAUGAAACUUAUUUGAAGUCCUGGAUUAAACGGUGCUUGUUUUCUAUAAUGUUUUGUUCCUUAAAUGUACUGACAAAUUUAAUUUAUUAUUUUUUUAGGAUUUGAGGUACAAGUUCAUACGUGAUAAUGACUUACUGUUUUGUUUUCAUUAUUUCCUCCUUCCAUCCUUUCUUGAUAUCCUUUUUAUCUCUUGGUUUCAAAAUUACACUAGCGUCAUAGAAUGAGUUGGAAAUUAGCCCAUUAUUCUCCAUGCCAUGGAGUGUUUUGCAAAACAUAAGAAUGAUCAGUUCCUUACAUAUUUGGUAGAAUUUACCUUAUAAAACACAGUAGGUUUUGUGUCUCUUCUGGAGUCCAGAUACUGCUAUGGACUGAAUGUUUGUACCCUCUAAGAUUCAUUAGGUUGAAAUCCUAGCCUCAAAGUGGUGGUAUUAGGAGGUGGGACUUUUGGGAGGUGAUCAGGCCAAGAGGGUGGAGCCCUCAUGAAUGGGAUUAGUGCCCUUAUCAAAUAAGGCAAAAGGAGCUCUUUAACCUCUCCCACCAUGUGAGGACAAAGUGAAAAGACACCAUCUAUGAACCAGGAAGCAGGGCCUCACCGGAUGCCAAACCUGCCAGCACCUGGCCCUUGGACUUCCAGCCACCAGAACUGUGAAGAAGAAAUUUCUAUUGCUUAUAAAUACCCAGUUUACGGCAUUCUGUUAUAGAAGUGCCUAAUAGGCUAAGGCAAAUACUAUAUGGUAUUUAGGAUUGCUUCUGUAUAUUUUUAAGACUUUUUUAUUUUGGAAUAAUAAUAAUUCACAGAAAAUUUACAGAGAAAGUCUCCACAUGCCCCUCACCCCACUUCCCCUAAUGUUAACAUAACCGUGGUCCAUUUGUCAAAACUAAGAAAUGAGGAUUGGUACCAUACUAUUGACUGAAUUACAGACAUUACUUGGAUUUUGUCAAUUGUUUUACUAAUAUUCUAUUAUUUCUGUGUCAGAUUCCAAUCUGGAUAACAUGUUGCAUUUGUUCAUCACGUCUCCUUUGUUUUUCCUGGGCUGUGACAGUUUCUUAUUCUUUUCUUGUAUUGCCUGGCUUUGAAUUUUGAGGAAUUCUGGUUAAGUAUUUUGUAAACUGUCACUAAAUUUUGCUUGUCAGAUGUUUUCUCCUGGGUUAGACUGGGCUUACAGGUUUUGGGGAAGAACUCUACAAAAGGGAAAUGUCUUUCUCAUCUCAUCUAAUAAAUGGAUAUAGGAUAUCAA
rnacentral:lncRNA from 1 species